UAGGAUAGAGGCCUACCAUGGUGGUAACGGGUAACGGGGUGUUAGGGCACGACACCGGAGAGGGAGCCUGAGAAACGGCUACCACAUCCAAGGAUGGCAGCAGGCGCGCAAAUUACCCAAUCCCGACACGGGGAGGUAGUGACAAUAAAUAACAAUACGGGGUUCUUUCGGAUCUCGUAAUUGGAAUGAGUACAAUUUAAAUCUCUUAACGAGGAACAAUUGGAGGGCAAGUCUGGUGCCAGCAGCCGCGGUAAUUCCAGCUCCAAUAGCGUAUAUUAAAGUUGUUGCAGUUAAAAAGCUCGUAGUUGAAUUUCGGGGUUAGUAGGUUGGUCAUGCCUCUGGUAUGUACUGGUCUCACUGAUUCCUCCUUCCUUAUGAACCGUAAUGCCAUUAAUUUGGUGUUGCGGGGAAUUUGGACUGUUACUUUGAAAAAAUUAGAGUGUUUAAAGCAAGCUAACGCUUGAAUACAUUAGCAUGGAAUAAUGAAAUAGGACGUUCGAUCUUAUUUUGUUGGUUUCUAGGAUUGACGUAAUGAUUAAUAGGGAUAGUUGGGGGCAUUAGUAUUCAAUUGUCAGAGGUGAAAUUCUUGGAUUUAUUGAAGACUAACUACUGCGAAAGCAUUUGCCAAGGAUGUUUUCAUUAAUCAAGAACGAAAGUUAGGGGAUCGAAGACGAUCAGAUACCGUCGUAGUCUUAACCAUAAACUAUGCCGACUAGG
rnacentral:rRNA from 1 species